CUAUUAAAAACACAAAGUCCAAAUGGUUUAAAACACGUUUAAAACAUACAGAGAUUAGGAUGACCUCUGCGCAGGGAUGACACGUAAAUUCAUGAAACCUUCCACAUUCUU